GCGAAGAUAGUUUAGUGGUUAGAAUACCUCGUUGCCAACGAGGUGACCCGGGUUCAAAUCCCGGUCUCCGCA
rnacentral:tRNA from 1 species